GGGCAAUGGGGAAAACCUCCACAUUCCACUGCUCUAGUGAAUGGCAAAGGCUUGGCCAGAAACCCGGCAGACUGGCAGUAUGAGGGGGAACCUUGCCACCAGCAUCGCCAGAAAGCAGGUGUAUAUCAGGUUGAUCCUCAGACCAAUUAGGAGACAAGCCAGAGGGCUUAAUCUCACGGACUCUAUAAAGUGUCCCCCCAGACUCAGUCUCCUUUCAAUCUUUCCUUGAUGAAUUAUCCCCCGAAAAGUUGCUGUAGCAAAAUCCCUUAAAAUUAUUGGCUUGAUGAGACUGAUACUAUUAAGACCAGCUGGAUUGGGCUAAAGGAUAUUCAACCAGCACUUAGAUCGGUCCUGGACAGGCAGGCCAGAGAGCACAAAGUGAACACACAGUCCUGGGUAGCAUAUUCCUCUCGAGAGUGGGGAACUUUGUAGAAAUGGUCCAGGGAGAAGGGUGUCUUUUUGAGUUGGUUGAGAACUGACACGUGGACUAUUUUCUCCUGAAGUCCCUUCCAGCCUGAUGAUUCUGCUUCCCCACCACAGAGGGCAGCGCCGUAUUACGUUCCACCCCAGAGGUCCAUCUGGAAGUACCCUGACUCACAGCUUCAUGGAACAGUCCCUUCCCCUCCUGCAGGGACCUGUUUGUGGAUGGCCCAGCAUUAGGACUGAUUUCACAAGAGGCAUCCAAACAGUGACUCUGAAGUGGGGCGGACCAGAACAGAAACCUGGAAAAGCUGUGGCCCAUUGGACCUGUCUACUGGCCACCUUCACAGGUCUCCAGGCAAGUGGGAGAAUUUACUUCUUGUCUUCCAUUUGGCUAGUCGGUUCACUGCCAAGGAGCCUGGGCUUAAUACCUUGUCACUCAGCCAGAUCAAUAACAGGACCCACUACACUACACAUGCUCCUCCCAAAAUGGCCCUGUAAAACCCAGUCCUGGUGGGAGAAAGCUGGCUUCGGUGAUCCAGGAUGAUCGACUAACUGGACCGAGGUUAGUUUUCCUACUUUUUGGAUUAAUCAAUUCAUGGUAUGUAUUGAGCACUUAUGUGGGCAGAGCACACAAUUCCUACCCUCAAAGGUUUUAUAAUCUAGUGGGGAAAGGCAUACGAUAAAAUUAAUUACAGAUGGGGGAAGCAAUAAAGUACAAGCAUAAAUCCGUAAAUGCCACGGUGGGGAGAAGGGAGAAGUGAGUACCAAAACCUUUUGGAUGCUUGUAACUAGCCUCCACUCUAAGUAGUGAGCAUUCUAUGCUCCCCACAUCCUGUCCAGGAUGUUCUUUGAAUCUACAGGCAGGGAAGUGGACUGCAGGAGAGUUGAACAUCAAGACUGUGCAAGCUGCAGGGAUCAGGGGUAGGGUCUGGCUAGGCAGUUAAGGAGUGAAGGCAAAAGAAGCCUGGCUCCAUUUUCCUCUUCAUUUUCACUCCCCACCCCUGCCCCCACCCAGCUUUUAUUUUCUCUUGCUUGUGAGCAGAAUUCUGAAAUCAAAACAAGGUAGUCAGCUAACAGGCUUUGAUUUUUCUUCCAAGGUUUCAGCGAGCCAAGGGGCAUUAAAAAUGUUUCAUUUGUUUUCAUCAAAAUAGUGACUAGGAAAAUGCGGGGUGGGGAUGACCAGGCUGUGAGGCUGGAAAGUCAGCAAUUAGAAUACCUUAAAUUAAUAUGUUGUUUUUGCUUUUCCUCAAAGUAUCUCUCUGAGAUACACAGAGACAGAUCAUAUUAUCCCUAUUUUACAAAUGAAGAAACUGGGACCCAGGUGACAAGCAAGAUAGUGGCAAAGCUGAGACACCUUGAUUCCUAGCUCUAUGUCCUUUCCCUUAGGCUACACUAGAGGACAAGGUUUGAGUGAAAAUUCCAAGUCUGGAGUGGGAGGCAGGGUUUGGGACACAGGGCAGCGGUGGGGGUUUUGUGGAGAGACUGUGGAGGCAAAGCAGGAGGGGAGCUUUAAUGGUGACACUGGGAUAGGGGAUUAGAAGGGUCAAGGGUCAUCAGGAGGAUACAAGAGAGACCUGAAGGGUCACUGAAGGCAGAGAAGGCCAAUCAGGUACCGAAUUGGGGGCAGGAGGUAGGAAGGGCCGGGAAUUAGAGGACUCUCCAGUUCCAAUGUGCCCCCAGCUGUUAGCAGGAGGGGCACUUGCUGAGCAGAAAAGCCUUUCAACAAAGUCCCCCCAGGCCCUCUGCCCAGCUGCUUCCCCCUGGAUAGCAGAAACACCAGGGCUAAUGGGGAAGGAACACAAAGCACCUCGAAGGAAAUCAAAUGCAUUCGGCUCCCACAGGUUCCUGGCACAGAGGCUUGAGGGGAGGAAGCUUCCCAGUGUGUGUGUAGGGGGGGUGAGGGCGGGAAGCUCUGCCAGGGUGUUGCUGUGGAGAUUCACCAAGGGGUGCCGCAGCCUCUAGGCUGGCUGACUGCACAAAGCUUCCCAGACAGCAGCUGCUACAGGGCUCAGUCCGGGAACUGCAGAGUCAUGGGGGAGCAGGCACAGAGUGGCAGGGCAGGACUGCCAACAAGCUGCCUGUGGGGGCCAAAACGGGGGUGUGCCCAGCCAGCAGGUGCUGAGCGGAGUCCUAAGGAGAUGAGUGGAGAACAGUCCCCUUGUCCUGAGGUCAUUUUGGGAUUGAUCCGGGCCAAUUUUUCCAAUGGGGAAGGGAUGUGUGUGUGUUUGUGUGUGCGUGUGUAAGUGCGCGCACACAGGUUUGGGUACCAAGAGGACAAUCCACCAAAUCUCCAGGCCAGCGUGCCAGCGACUCUUCAUACGAACAGGACGUGGGAUGUCAUGAGGGAAAAUAAGCCACACUGAAUUAGUCAUAAGGGUAAUGAGAUUGCUGCAGUGGAACUUGGCAAGAAAGACAUUGCCUCCAGCUCUUCCCAAGAUCACCACACGCAGAUCCUGGGAGAAAGACACUUGCUCAGUCAGCUGUAGGCAUGGAAAAAACACCUCCAGUUUCCCCGGCCCCCGGCGGGGUCUGGGAGCCAUUUAGUGGGUGGGCAGGGCUGUCAGAUUCUGAUUGUGAUCUAGAAUCGCUGGCACUGCCACAAAUGGUUCAAUUUCUUCUUUUUUCUUGUUUCCUUUUAACCUCAUGUCAUUCAAGAAGUGACGCCAAACCCUUUCCCGUCUCCGAAAAACCUCAGAGAAAUUACUUCCAGCCUAGUGAAGUCCUGUGGAAGCCAAGAGCCAACGCCCUAGCUCUCUGUGAGGAAAGUAAAAUGUGGGGGGAGUGAAUAAGGGGUAAGAAAGAGGGAGGCAGGAGGAGGAGGACUCCUACUCUCCCUCCUUUUUCCCCUCCUCUCCAUCCACCAUCUCUUCUAUUAUGUCCUGAAUAAUGGGCCCUCACUCUCUGAGUGGUACCUAGUAAAUCCAACUUUCAUCUUUCAAUCCUCCCUGCUUGCCCUCACGUACAGCUCAAAAGGGGAGAAGGAGGCAGGGUGAACCCUUAUCGGACAUGGUAAGAGCCUGGGUCUGUGAGGA
rnacentral:lncRNA from 1 species